rnacentral:rRNA from 1 species
UACGUGAGGAUGCAAGCGUUGUCCGGAUUUACUGGGCGUAAGCGCGCGCAGGCGGCAUACCAAGUAUCAGUGAAAUCUCCCUGCUCAACGGGGAGGGUGCUGAGUAGACUGGUAAGCUAGAGGACGGUAGAGGGGGGUAGAAUUGCUGGUGUAGCGGUGAAAUGCGUAGAGAUCAGCAGGAAUACCCGUGGCGAAGGCGGCCCCCUGGGCCGUUUCGUGACGCUGAGGCGCGAAGGCUAGGGGAGCGAACGGG